CCUACGGGUGGCAGCAGUGAGGAAUAUUGGUCAAUGGACGCUAGCCUGAACCAGCCAAGUAGCGUGCAGGAUGACUGCCCUAUGGGUUGUAAACUUCUUUUAUAUGGGAAUAAAGUCCAGUACGCAUACCGUUUUGCAUGUACCUUAUGAAUAAGGAUCGGCUAACUCCGUGCCAGCAGCCGCGGUAAUACGGCGGAUCCAAGCGUUAUCCGGCUUUAUUGGGUUUAAAGGGUGCGUAGGAGGGUGGUUAAGUUAGUUGUGAAAGUUUGCGGCUCAACUGUAAAAUUGCAGUUGAUACUGGCAUCCUAGAGUACAGUAGAGGUAGGCGGAAUUCGUGGUGUAGCGGUGAAAUGCUUAGAUAUCACGAAGAACUCCGAUUGCGAAGGCAGCCUACUAGACUGUCACUGACGCUGAUGCACGAAAGUGUGGGUAUCAAACAGGAUUAGAUACCCGAGUAGUC
rnacentral:rRNA from 1 species